UACCCUUUUCCCGCCAAAUCCACAGGAAUCCCGCAUGAAUAAAUUAAUUUUUGGUGGGCAGAAGAAGACCUCUGCAAGCAGGAUAACCCUACAUGGAUAUAUAACUAAAGGCGACGCUUGUAUCAAAAGCAGGCCAUUGGGCAAAAUAGCUCUUAGCUCUUCGUGUUGUCAUGUCGACCACGCCAAACCAAAUACUCCUGAAUUCCUUGAGAUGAUKCGAAAUUUUAAAAUGUCUUGACAUUUUAGAAUACGAAGAGACAACUAACGAUAGCAUAUCGAUUACUCCCGAAGUCUCCCGACAGCAAUCCGAGGAGGAAGACUUGGAGUUGGAGAGCCGGCUGAAGAUUUCUAUUCGUUAUCUACUUGUCCAUUAUUGUCUGCGUCAAGACAUUUAGUGACUGAUAACCUUAGCAAACGAGUAAAGGAGUGAGUCUUCUUGGAGAUUUUUCCAGGAAGAGAAGAGCAAUGAAAGAGAAAGAAGCUGUUCUGUAAAAGCUAGAAAACAGUACUAGACGUAAGGUAACGGAGGUUUGAUCAAUAAAGCAAUCGGUCACCGUUUAAGCAAGUAGACAAGUACCGAAAUCUCCCGUCAUUCUUAGUGAAUCAGAGGUAUGCAAUAACGCCAUCUAUCGCGAAAGCUGCUCAAAAAGGAGCGCAAUCUCACAUCUCGAGUGUCUUGCCUGAAGGAACUUUGUCACAGCACUUUGUUGUUCCGAGUAACGCAGUAACGCAAUUUCGUGCCUCGACUGGAUUUCUUGAAGGAUCGCUGUCACCAUUUUUUGUAGCUUAGGGUAUUUACCUAAGAAUAAAUGAUUUGUGAUUGAAA